AUGGCUCUAAUCCGGCUCAACACAAGUAUUCUGUGCUUGAUGGCACUUUUGAUGGUUUCAACCACUUUGUUGUCGUGUGAAGCAUCAGGGAGGACCAUAGGCCUGGAAGACGACGUUUGCGGUGGGAAGUACCAUGAACCCUACGGUCGUUGUAUCGAUGCUAAGUCGUGUGAUACCUACUGCAAGCAAGAUAAAAAGGGAGGCGGGGCCUGCCGUAACGGUGCAUGCUGUUGCUUCUUGUAG
rnacentral:rRNA from 1 species